GAUGAAGAACGCAGCGAAAUGCGAUAAGUAAUGUGAAUUGCAGAAUUCAGUGAAUCAUCGAAUCUUUGAACGCAUCUUGCGCUCCUUGGUAUUCCGAGGAGCAUGCCUGUUCGAGCGUCAUUAUAACCCCUCAAGCUCAGCUUGGUGUUGGGGCCUGCUGCACUGGCAGCCCUUAAAAUCAGUGGCGGCGCCAUCUGGCUCUAAGCGUAGUAAUUCUUCUCGCUAUGGAGUCCUGGUGGAUGCUUGCCAUCAACCCCCAAUUUUUCUAUGGUUGACCUCGGAUCAGGUAGGGAUACCCGCUGAACUUAAGCAUAUCAAUAAGCGGAGGA
rnacentral:misc_RNA from 1 species